rnacentral:misc_RNA from 1 species
UUGAUUUAUUUGAGCUUUGAUCAGCUCAAUUUCUCUGGAAUUGUAAUCUGGGAAGCUGCCUAUGGAUUGAUUUUUGGGCUUCAUUUUAUGUGGGUUUUGGAUUGUGAUUGUGUUGUUGAUGCUGUGUGGCUGAAUAAGGUUUCUUGAAUCUUGAACUUGUGCUUUUGAUGAGCCUGGUUAUUGUUUUGCACAACGUGGCUUUUAGCAGGUUUAAAUUGAAUGUUUAUAAUUUUAAUUUUUUGGAUUGCGAUAAGAAUCAUAAGAUUUUGGUUUUGGUUUACUAAUGCUUGUUAGUGUAUUUAUUGGAUGACCAAACUUAUGUAGUAAGUUCCAAUAUGAUUAAAAAAUAUGUAAAAAAUUUGGCUGUGAAUUGUAAUUCUCUUGAGUCCUGGCAUGUUUUUUGUGAUAUUAGUUUUCUAACUUGGAUUAUGGUAAUGUUUGACUAUACAUGAUGCAUGUAGAAUUUUUCAGAAAUUCACUGUUAUGAUAUUGAUCGUAUUUUACAUUAGUAAUAAUGUUUACUAGUUUAGUCGUGAGAUAGUAGUUAGGGUGCAACCUUGGUAAAUGUAGAUAGAACUAGAAGAGUACAUAAUAUCAUGAAAAUUAUGCAAGGAUCCAG